AAAUUGAAGAGUUUGAUCAUGGCUCAGAUUGAACGCUGGCGGCAGGCCUAACACAUGCAAGUCGAACGGUAGCACAGAGAGCUUGCUCUCGGGUGACGAGUGGCGGACGGGUGAGUAAUGUCUGGGAAACUGCCUGAUGGAGGGGGAUAACUACUGGAAACGGUAGCUAAUACCGCAUAACGUCGCAAGACCAAAGAGGGGGACCUUCGGGCCUCUUGCCAUCAGAUGUGCCCAGAUGGGAUUAGCUAGUAGGUGGGGUAACGGCUCACCUAGGCGACGAUCCCUAGCUGGUCUGAGAGGAUGACCAGCCACACUGGAACUGAGACACGGUCCAGACUCCUACGGGAGGCAGCAGUGGGGAAUAUUGCACAAUGGGCGCAAGCCUGAUGCAGCCAUGCCGCGUGUAUGAAGAAGGCCUUCGGGUUGUAAAGUACUUUCAGCGGGGAGGAAGGUGUUGUGGUUAAUAACCGCAGCAAUUGACGUUACCCGCAGAAGAAGCACCGGCUAACUCCGUGCCAGCAGCCGCGGUAAUACGGAGGGUGCAAGCGUUAAUCGGAAUUACUGGGCGUAAAGCGCACGCAGGCGGUCUGUCAAGUCGGAUGUGAAAUCCCCGGGCUCAACCUGGGAACUGCAUUCGAAACUGGCAGGCUAGAGUCUUGUAGAGGGGGGUAGAAUUCCAGGUGUAGCGGUGAAAUGCGUAGAGAUCUGGAGGAAUACCGGUGGCGAAGGCGGCCCCCUGGACAAAGACUGACGCUCAGGUGCGAAAGCGUGGGGAGCAAACAGGAUUAGAUACCCUGGUAGUCCACGCCGUAAACGAUGUCGACUUGGAGGUUGUGCCCUUGAGGCGUGGCUUCCGGAGCUAACGCGUUAAGUCGACCGCCUGGGGAGUACGGCCGCAAGGUUAAAACUCAAAUGAAUUGACGGGGGCCCGCACAAGCGGUGGAGCAUGUGGUUUAAUUCGAUGCAACGCGAAGAACCUUACCUACUCUUGACAUCCAGAGAACUUAGCAGAGAUGCUUUGGUGCCUUCGGGAACUCUGAGACAGGUGCUGCAUGGCUGUCGUCAGCUCGUGUUGUGAAAUGUUGGGUUAAGUCCCGCAACGAGCGCAACCCUUAUCCUUUGUUGCCAGCGGUCCGGCCGGGAACUCAAAGGAGACUGCCAGUGAUAAACUGGAGGAAGGUGGGGAUGACGUCAAGUCAUCAUGGCCCUUACGAGUAGGGCUACACACGUGCUACAAUGGCGCAUACAAAGAGAAGCGAACUCGCGAGAGCAAGCGGACCUCAUAAAGUGCGUCGUAGUCCGGAUUGGAGUCUGCAACUCGACUCCAUGAAGUCGGAAUCGCUAGUAAUCGUAGAUCAGAAUGCUACGGUGAAUACGUUCCCGGGCCUUGUACACACCGCCCGUCACACCAUGGGAGUGGGUUGCAAAAGAAGUAGGUAGCUUAACCUUCGGGAGGGCGCUUACCACUUUGUGAUUCAUGACUGGGGUGAAGUCGUAACAAGGUAACCGUAGGGGAACCUGCGGUUGGAUCACCUCCUUACCUUAAAGAA
rnacentral:rRNA from 7 species